AAAUGAAUAGACGGGACCCCGCACAAGCGGUGGAUCAUGUGGUUUAAUUCGAAGCAACGCGAAGAACCUUACCAAGUCUUGACAUGCCGACAAAGACCCAAGAGAUUGGGAGAUAGCUAUGGCGGACACAGGUGGUGCAUGGUUGUCGUCAGCUCGUGUCGUGAGAUGUUGGGUUAAGUCCCGCAACGAGCGCAACCCCUGUCUUUAGUUACCAUCAUUAAGUUGGGGACUCUAGAGAGACUGCCGGUGACAAACCGGAGGAAGGUGGGGAUGACGUCAAAUCAUCAUGCCCUUUAUGACUUGGGCUACACACGUGAUACAAUGGCAUAUACAACGGGAAGCGAAAGGGUGACCUGGAGCAAAUCUCACAAAAUAUGUCUCAGUUCGGAUUGUAGUCUGCAACUCGACUACAUGAAGUUGGAAUCGCUAGUAAUCGCGGAUCAGCAUGCCGCGGUGAAUACGUUCUCGGGGUUUGUACACACCGCCCGU
rnacentral:rRNA from 1 species